AGUUUCUUCCUGUGAGCCUGGGGAGUGGCGGCUGCCGAGUCCGCCCCGCUCCUCGCGGGGGCAGGGGGAGGGGUUGGCCUCCGUGCAUUUCCGCUAGGUGGGGACCCCCGCCCUUGCGACCUGUCCGGUACGCCCGGAGGCCUUUUGCAGCGGUUCCAGCUGCGCCUUGACCGUUCCCGGUACGCACGGUGCAGCUGUUCGGCCGUGGCCGGAAGCGGACCUCUGGGUCUCGGUCACGGCUCUGGUGUGAGAAUAAACAAUCAGAAGCCUCUCGUUUGGAUUGGAAGGAACCGAGCGACCUUCCCAAACCUGUACCUUUUACCACGCCUGCCCUCCCCAUUCCCAAGGCUUUCUGUUGAACAGAAGUACCAGAUACGAGGUGCUGGAAGCGCAUAGUUAAGCUUAGUUUCUCUAUCCACAUUCCAAACAACCCGAGUUACCGGAAUUAAUAGGAGUGUGGGUCUGUGUGAGUGUGUGGUGGGGUGUGUUGGAGGUCUAGAAAGGACUAAUCAAUUUACUAAUCAUCCCCCCUUGGAGAAUUUUUUUAAAACUUUUUAUUUUGAAAUAGAUUACAGUUGAAAAUAUACUACAGACCUCUGUGGUCUUUCUCUCCAAAAGCCAUAACCCCUAUCUAACUAUGAGAAAACCAUUUGACAAACCCAAACUGUAGGACAUUAUUUUUAUAAAAUACCUAAACACUACUCAAAGAUAGUACAGAGAGAUCCAAUUUACUCUUUACCCAGUUUCCCCCAAUGGUUGCAUAUUACAUAAUUCUAGUACAAUCUCAAAAGGAGGGAUUUGAUAGUUGUAUGAUGUGUGUAUAGUUCAAUGUCAUUUUAUCACAUGUAGACCUACGCACCAUAGUCAAGAUGCAGAGUUGUAUGUUCUAUAUGUUUUGUGAUCAUUAGGUUAUUUUGGAAAGAACUAGUUUUCCUUAAAAACCUAAUCAAAGAUCUGUUGUGAGGAUUAAGAAUCAUUUGUAAAAUGUGUAGAAGAGCAUCUGACAAGUAUAUACUACGUGCUCAAUAAAAAUUAUAAAAGUUAAUUGCCCUCUCACAUUCAUGCGAACUUCCUUCAGGAAAUCUUCAUGGAUUACCUGAACUACAUCUUAAACUAUUAGCCAUCAGGCUACAUCUGAAACACUUAGAGAUUUGACUGUAUUCCUCUCUUCUUGGGGGUCCCUAAAAUACACUGAAGUUCCUGGGCCUGCCAGAGAGUGACAUUCCUUACUCAUCUGUGGUUCU
rnacentral:lncRNA from 10 species